rnacentral:rRNA from 1 species
UACGUAGGUGACCAGCGUUGUCCGGAUUUACUGGGCGUAAAGAGCGCGCAGGCGGUCGUUCAAGUCGAGUGUGAAAGCCCCCCGGCUCAACUGGGGGAGGGUCACUCGAUACUGAUCGACUUGAAGGCAGGAGAGGGAAGCGGAAUUCCCGGUGUAGUGGUGAAAUGCGUAGAUAUCGGGAGGAACACCAGUGGCGAAGGCGGCUUCCUGGCUGUUCCUUUG